AACGAACGCUGGCGGCGUGCUUAACACAUGCAAGUCGAACGCGAAAGGGACUUCGGUCCCGAGUAGAGUGGCGCACGGGUGAGUAACGCGUAAGUAAUCUACCCCCGCAUUCGGAAUAACUCGUCGAAAGGUGAGCUAAUACCGGAUACGUUUAUCUUGAUGCGAAUGAUGAUAAAGAAAGGUGGCCUCUUCAUGAAAGCUACUGUGCAGGGAUGAGCUUGCGUACCAUUAGCUAGUUGGUAGGGUAAUGGCCUACCAAGGCGACGAUGGUUAGCGGGUCUGAGAGGAUGAUCCGCCACACUGGAACUGGAACACGGACCAGACUCCUACGGGAGGCAGCAGUGAGGAAUAUUGCGCAAUGGGGGCAACCCUGACGCAGCGACGCCGCGUGGAUGAUGAAGGCCCUUGGGUCGUAAAAUCCUGUCAGAUGGAAAGAAAUGUAUAGGUGUUAAUAUCGCCUGUAUUUGACGGUACCAUCAAAGGAAGCACCGGCUAACUCCGUGCCAGCAGCCGCGGUAAUACGGAGGGUGCGAGCGUUGUUCGGAAUUACUGGGCGUAAAGCGCGCGUAGGCGGUUUGCUUAGUCAGAUGUGAAAGCCCUCGGCUUAACCGGGGACGUGCAUUUGAAACUGGCAGACUUGAGUACUGGAGGGGGUGGUGGAAUUCCCGGUGUAGAGGUGAAAUUCGUAGAUAUCGGGAGGAAUACCGGUGGCGAAGGCGACCACCUGGCCAGAUACUGACGCUGAGGUGCGAAAGCGUGGGGAGCAAACA
rnacentral:rRNA from 1 species